rnacentral:lncRNA from 1 species
UUGCCAGCUUAAUUAUUGUCAUCAUUGAUUACGCCUCUUGUCUUUAACCCCAAACUCCAACAGCACUAUGUUUGGAUAGGGUGGGGAUAUAUGGUCUUGUUUACGCGUAAAUAUGUUGUUUGCGAUCCAUAAAUUGCUCUCUCAAACAGGCCUGCCAACCCAUAUCUUUUAAUUAGUUUAUCAACACACAACUUAAUGAAUUUGCUUUAACUUGUUGUGCCUAUAAAAACUAGAGUUUGAACAGUUCUCCAUGCAUAUUUAAGAUGAUCCAGCCCUGCAAGAAAAAAGGCACUUGAGUUAGUGCAUAAAAGAAAAGUAGGCUGUAGGGGGCUGUGAUGUAAUUCCAAGCAAAAGCAUGUGGGCUGAAAAAUAUAGUUAAGGAUCAGAGAGAAGAUUCGAUGACAUGAAGUUGAUGGUAUUGAAACAGGAUAUGGGUAUUAUCCAGAGACAUCAUUACUGCUGUCUGUAGUCUGUGUUGGCCUCCGCUCUCAGCUAGCUGAGUCCAAAACCGCAGCCCUACACGCUAUUCAUUGAACUUGAAGGGUCUCUCUCCUUCCUGGCCUGCUGCUCUUAGCUGUGGGAUUGCUAACCGCUAGCCUCCACCAUAGAUUCUAGAUAUAGAUGCUAUACACACAUAAAAUAUAUAUCUAUCGGCAUUGGAACAUUGUCAGCGGCUUGUCCCUGUAAAGGAUGACACCCUAACAAUAGUAAUAAUUAUACAUGCUUUCUCCAGUCCCCCGAUGCUGCUCCUUUUGCUCAUUAACUCUUACUCUAACACCUAAAUUCACUAAUUUGUAGUUUAUAUAUCCAACUGGAUUGUGUUAACAGAGUGUACAAAAGAUAUCUAUUAGUAAUAUAUUAAUGAGAAAAUAUCUAAUAACAUUCAUUGGAAAAUCCCAAAACUUGGUGGUAAUUUCGCCCUAGAAUCAAAUUUUCAACAUUUUUUGUCCUUGCUGAGUCGUCAAUGUCCUUCUUUCUUUGGCAAUCGUACUUGUAAUUACAUAAGCCCUUUUUAUGUUUCCUUCUUAUUGUUUUUUCUUUUCGUUGAAUUUUAUAUUUAUUCCUGGUUUCAUUGAAGGCUUUUUUUACAUUAUUUGCUUAUCUUUAUCAGCAACGGUAAUUAAAUUAAAAGGACUCCGAUAAUGAUUUUUUAUAAUCAUUAGCUAAAG